UACAUGGGGUGCAAACGUUGCUCGGAAUUAUUGGGCGUAAAGCGCACGUAGGCGGUUUGUUAAGUCGGAUGUGAAAUCCCUCGGCUCAACUGAGGAAGUGCAUCCGAAACUGGCAAGCUUGAGUACGAAAGAGGGUCGCGGAAUUCCCGGUGUAGAGGUGAAAUUCGUAGAUAUCGGGAGGAACACCGGUGGCGAAGGCGGCGACCUGGGUCGAGAUUGACGCUGAGGCGCGAAAGCCAGGGGAGCAAACGGG
rnacentral:rRNA from 1 species